AGUGAACGCUGGCGGUAGGCCUAACACAUGCAAGUCGAACGGCAGCACAGUAAGAUCUUGCUCUUACGGGUGGCGAGUGGCGGACGGGUGAGGAAUACAUCGGAAUCUACUUUUUCGUGGGGGAUAACGUAGGGAAACUUACGCUAAUACCGCAUACGACCUACGGGUGAAAGCAGUGGAUCUUCGCACCUUGCGCGAUUGAAUGAGCCGAUGUCGGAUUAGCUAGUUGGCGGGGUAAAGGCCCACCAAGGCGACGAUCCGUAGCUGGUCUGAGAGGAUGAUCAGCCACACUGGAACUGAGACACGGUCCAGACUCCUACGGGAGGCAGCAGUGGGGAAUAUUGGGCAAUGGGCGCAAGCCUGAUCCAGCCAUACCACGUGGGUGAAGAAGGCCUUCGGGUUGUAAAGCCCUUUUGUUGGGAAAGAAAAGCAGCAGGUUAAUACCCCGCUGUUCUGACGGUACCCAAAGAAUAAGCACCGGCUAACUUCGUG
rnacentral:rRNA from 1 species